rnacentral:rRNA from 1 species
GACGUAGGGCGCGAGCGUUUGUCCGGAUUUAUUGGGCGUAAAAGAGCUCGUAGGCGGCUUUGUCGCGUCGACUGUGAAAUCCCGGCGGCUCAACCCGCGGGCUUGCAGUCGAUACGGGCAGGCUAGAGUUUGGUAGGGGGAGACUGGAAUUCCUGGUGUAGCGGUGAAAUGCGCAGAUAUCAGGAGGAACACCGGUGGCGAAGGCGGGUCUCUGGGCCAAUACUGACGCUGAGGAGCGAAAGCAUGGGGAGCGAACAGG